GGCAACCUACGGGGCGCAGCAGUGGGGAAUAUUGCACAAUGGGGGAAACCCUGAUGCAGCGACGCCGCGUGAGUGAAGAAGUAAUUCGUUAUGUAAAGCUCUAUCAGCAGGGAAGAAACAGACGGUACCUGAGUAAGAAGCCCCGGCUAACUACGUGCCAGCAGCCGCGGUAAUACGUAGGGGGCAAGCGUUAUCCGGAUUUACUGGGUGUAAAGGGAGCGUAGACGGACUUGCAAGUCUGAUGUGAAAAUCCGGGGCCCAACCCCGGAACUGCAUUGGAAACUGUAUAUCUAGAGUGUCGGAGG
rnacentral:rRNA from 1 species